rnacentral:rRNA from 1 species
ACGAACGCUGGCGGCGUGCUUAACACAUGCAAGUCGAACGGAAAGGCCCUGCUUUUGUGGGGUGCUCGAGUGGCGAACGGGUGAGUAACACGUGAGUAACCUGCCCUUGACUUUGUGAUAACUUCAGGAAACUGGGGCUAAUACCGGAUAGGAGCUCCUGCUGCAUGGUGGGGGUUGGUAAGUUUCGGCGGUUGGGGAUGGACUCGCGGCUUAUCAGCUUGUUGGUGGGGUAGUGGCUUACCAAGGCUUUGACGGGUAGCCGGCCUGAGAGGGUGACCGGCCACAUUGGGACUGAGAUACGGCCCAGACUCCUACGGGAGGCAGCAGUGGGGAAUAUUGCACAAUGGGCGGAAGCCUGAUGCAGCAACGCCGCGUGCGGGAUGACGGCCUUCGGGUUGUAAACCGCUUUCGCCUGUGACGAAGCGUGAGUGACGGUAAUGGGUAAAGAAGCACCGGCUAACUACGUG